rnacentral:rRNA from 1 species
GUUGGGAGCUCUCCCAUAUGGUCGACCUGCAGGCGGCCGCGAAUUCACUAGUGAUUAGAGUUUGAUCAUGGCUCAGAUUGAACGCUGGCGGCAUGCCUAACACAUGCAAGUCGAACGAGGGUAGCAAUACCUUAGUGGCGGACGGGUGAGGAAUACGUAGGAAUUUGCCCUUAAGUGGGGGAUAGCCCGGGGAAACCCGGAUUAAUACCGCAUGAACUCGAGAGAGCAAAGUCGGGGACCUUCGGGCCUGGCGCUUUUGGAGAAGCCUACGUCGGAUUAGCUAGUUGGUGAGGUAAUGGCUCACCAAGGCUGCGAUCCGUAACUGGUCUGAGAGGAUGAUCAGUCACACCGGAACUGAGACACGGUCCGGACUCCUACGGGAGGCAGCAGUGGGGAAUAUUGGAGAAUGGGCGAAAGCCUGAUCCAGCAAUGCCGCGUGUGUGAAGAAGGCCUUCGGGUUGUAAAGCACUUUAGGCUGGAAAGAAAAAGCUUUGGCUAAUAUCCAAAGCCUUGACGGUACCAGCAGAAUAAGCCCCGGCUAACUCUGUGCCAGCAGCCGCGGUAAUACGAAUCGAAUUCCCGCGGCCGCCAUGACGGCCGGGAGCAUGCGACGUCG